rnacentral:rRNA from 1 species
CCUACGGGAGGCAGCAGUGGGGAAUAUUGGGCAAUGGAGGAAACUCUGACCCAGCGACGCCGCGUGCGGGAUGAAGGCCUUCGGGUUGUAAACCGCUUUCAGCAGGGAAGAAGCGAAAGUGACGGUACCUGCAGAAGAAGCACCGGCUAACUAUGUGCCAGCAGCCGCGGUAAUACAUAGGGUGCAAGCGUUGUCCGGAAUUAUUGGGCGUAAAGAGCUCGUAGGUGGUUCGUCACGUCGGAUGUGAAAAUCUGGGGCUUAACCCCAGACCUGCAUUCGAUACGGGCGAGCUUGAGUAUGGUAGGGGAGUCUGGAAUUCCUGGUGUAGCGGUGGAAUGCGCAGAUAUCAGGAGGAACACCAAUGGCGAAGGCAGGACUCUGGGCCAUUACUGACACUGAGGAGCGAAAGCGUGGGGAGCGAACAGGAUUAGAUACCCUGGUAGUCCACGCCGUAAACGGUGGGCACUAGUUGUGGGGACCUUCCACGGUCUCUGCGACGCNGCUACGCAUAGUGUCCGCCGUCGGGAGGUACGAGUCGCGAGAAGUAAACGUAACGUAAAGUUAAAGUUAGUACGGACGUUGAGACGCGCCGACGGACGACGACGAGGGAGGAGG